AUUGAACGCUGGCGGCAGGCCUAACACAUGCAAGUCGAGCGAGUGGCGGACGGGUGAGUAAUGUCUGGGAAUCUGCCCGAUGGAGGGGGAUAACUACUGGAAACGGUAGCUAAUACCGCAUACUAUCAGAUGUGCCCAUAUGGGAUUAGCUAGUUGGUGGGGUAACGGCUCACCAAGGCGACGAUCCCUAGCUGGUCUGAGAGGAUGACCAGACACACUGGAACUCGGACACGGUCAAAACUCCGACAGGCGUCAGCAGUGGGGAAUGGUGCACUAUGGGAGCAAGCGCGAUGCCGCCAUGCAGCGUGUAUGAAGAAGGCCUUAAGGUUGUAAGGUACUUUAAGCGGUUAGGCGUUACCGGGAGAAGAAGCGCCGGCUAACUCCGUGCCAGCAGCCGCGGUAAUAC
rnacentral:rRNA from 1 species